rnacentral:rRNA from 1 species
AUGAGAGUUUGAUCCUGGCUCAGAAUCAACGCUGGCGGCGUGCCUAACACAUGCAAGUCGAACGCGAAAGGGGCUUCGGCCCUGAGUAGAGUGGCAAACGGGUGAGUAACACGUGGGUGACCUGCCUCAGAGUGGGGGAUAACGUCCCGAAAGGGGCGCUAAUACCGCAUGACAUCCUGCGCUUGGAAGCGCGGUGAUUAAAGCCGGGGAUCGCAAGACCUGGCGCUUGGAGAGGGGCCCGCGGCCGAUUAGCUAGUUGGUGAGGUAACGGCUCACCAAGGCAACGAUCGGUAUCCGGCCUGAGAGGGCGGACGGACACACUGGGACUGAGACACGGCCCAGACUCCUACGGGAGGCAGCAGUGGGGAAUUGUUCGCAAUGGGCGCAAGCCUGACGACGCAACGCCGCGUGGAGGAUGAAGAUCUUCGGGUCGUAAACUCCUUUCGAUCGGGAAGAACGGCUUCCGGGUAAAUAUCCCGGGAGUGUGACGGUACCGAGAGAAGAAGCCCCGGCUAACUCCGUGCCAGCAGCCGCGGUAAUACGGGGGGGGCAAGCGUUGUUCGGAAUUACUGGGCGUAAAGGGCUCGUAGGCGGCCAACUAAGUCGGACGUGAAAUCCCCAGGCUUAACCUGGGAACUGCGUCCGAUACUGGAUGGCUUGAAUCCGGGAGAGGGAUGCAGAAUUCCAGGUGUAGCGGUGAAAUGCGUAGAUAUCUGGAGGAAUACCGGUGGCGAAGGCGGCAUCCUGGACCGGCAUUGACGCUGAGGAGCGAAAGCUAGGGGAGC